GGCACUGUUAAUAGUAAGCUUACCCUCAGCUCUCUACUCAAUACUUGGGAUAAGCCUCUGGGAAUUAGAAAGAGCUCUUUUGAAAACAUGUUGUCUUAGCCCAGAAGAACUCAGUCAGGUCAUGUUCAAGGCUUUCCCCACAACUCAGUUCAGCUCUCAGGAGCAUACUGACUAGAUAGAUGACCUUCUAAAUUGAUUCAAUCCGAUGAUGCCGAUUAGAAAUGAGUGCCAGACUCCACAUUUAAAAGAGUUUGGUCCCACAAAAUGUCUCCUCCUCCAGAUGACUGACAGGCUGGCCCUCUCAUACUUGCGAUUCGCGGUCUUUAAACAGGUUGUAUUUUUAGUGACGUUUUAUAUCAUUAUUAUGCAAGCAGGGUGUGUUUUGACUUCAGCAUGAUACCUUCAACCAUAUGGUCUUAUCAUUUAGUUCUGGUGGACAAAUUUUGAAUGGCAAGAGCUUGUGAUUUGGGGGAUGGUAGUUAUGGGGGUCUCUUAGUUGGGGUUUCAGUUGCCACGAAAAGACACCAUGAUCACAGCAACUCUUAUAAAGGAAAAACAUUUAAUUGGGGUAAUUUACAUUUUCAGAAGUUUAGUCCAUUAUCAUCAUGAUGCGUCAUGGUGGCAUGCAGGCAGACAUGGUGCUGGAGAAGGAGCUGAGAAUCUUACAUCUUGACCUGCAGCCAAUAAGAAGUGGUCUGACACACUGGAUAUGGCUUGAACAAAUAGGAGACCUCAAAAUCCACCUCCACAGUGACACUCUUCCUCCAACAAGGCCACACCUAAUCCAAUAAGCCACACCUACUAAUAGUGCCACUCUCUGGUUUUAUGGGGACCAAUUAUAUUCAAACUACCUGGACUCUUCCUGACCAGCAACGUACAAGGAAGUAUCCCACUCCUGAUAAUGGGUUUCUUUGUUUAAUGACCUAUGGCUUCUAAGAGCAGCUUUGUCUAGCUAUGUAUAGUAUUUCCCUUCAAAUUCUUUUAAAAACCUAUAGUUCUAAUUUGUUACGAAAUAGUGGUUUCCCUAUGCCUUCUUCAUAGCCCCUUUAUUUAAGUUGUUUCUCUACCAUUAUGUAUUUUUAUGCUUUCCUGGAAUAUUGAUGUAGAGAUGCUUAUAUUUCCAGUUAAUACCUAUUUUACUUGGAAUUUUUUGCAUAAAUACACACAUAUAUAGUGAACACCUUGAACGCAGGAACACAUAUCCAUCUAUAACAUGUUUACUAUGGGAAUAAUAAAUCACUCAGUCAUUUUGUUAUUGAUGGACACAUAGGUUAUUUUCUCCUAGAAAAUAUAACUAUUACAGAAAUGCUUCUUCCGAAAGUAGACUCUCUCUCAAGGUCGAAGGAAUUGAUCACUAAAUGACAACAUCAAACAGCCUUCAUAUAGUUUGGACCAAUUCAGACUUCGGCUAGCACCAUGUACAGUUCCUUGAUCCCCACACUGAACUGUUAAGGCGGCACUGGCCUGUUUAAAGUUCAGUAGAAGUAUAACCUACAAUGAGGACAUCUUCUCCCACUGUCCAGGAGGUUCAAAUUUAUGACCUUUUUAGGGAUUCGAGUUUUCUCUAGGAGACCAUGAUUAAAAUGCAAAAUCAGGCGACGUGGGACAGUUCAUAGUCUUUUGUCUCUCUCUUUCUGUCUCUCUUGUUCUUUCUUCUUCUUAUGUGUGUGUGCACGCAUGUGCACGCAUGCAUAUGUGUGUGCAGACAUAGCAAGAGUAAUUAUAAAUAUGGGUAUAGUAACAUAUGGUCCAGAUGUUUUCUAGAGGAAAAAAAAACCUUCAUUAUAUUAUCUUAUAAGAAAAUGCCAUGUAGUUUAUUUAUAUAACUGCAUCUCCAACUCUACAAAGGUCAUCGGCCAGUUUAUUUGUUUUGCUUUUUAAACUCAGGAUGUACCAUCACCGGGGUAUGGUUAGUAUCUAGAAAGGACAGAUCAGUGUUCCAGCUCAGGCAGGCAUGAGAGAAAUGUCACCGCAGGAAGUGAAAUCUUGAGUUCCCGGGGGGUCAUCAGGCAGGCUUACAGUGGGGGGCAGGGUCCUGUCUCCGGUUGUUCUAGCACUGUUCUCAAAUAGUGUAAAAUAAUACAGCCCACUCCCAGAAUUCUGAGCUAGGGCUCCGGCUUUCUCUAAGGGUAAGCUUGUCCUCAUUUGCUCUCCGUUCAUCGUGUCUCUGUGUCUCCCUUUCAGGGUGAAGUGUGGGAGGCAAGAAUUGGAAAGUGCACCGGUUUCCUAAGGCUGAAUGGGGACUUGGGGUGUUUCUGUUUAAAUCUCACUAAUGUAUUCCAAACAGGGAGCCUUAGGCUUUCUCCCCCACAGCCCCCCGCUCCGUGUCCUGCUUUAAUUUGUGGUUAUUGCCACGGCUUUGCUUGGCUUCUCUUGCUCUCCCUAGCUAAGAUAUCCAUAUUCAACAGGGAAGGACACCCAGGCAAGUCCUAUGGUUGGAAUGGAAGAUCUUUUCAAAAAGCCUUGAGAUGUGUUAUUUGAAACAGACCAGAAAGCAUGUGGCCAGAACAUGGGAGAGAUUUGCAAUAGCCAGAAGAAUAAGAUGAGGGAGGAAAAAGAGCAAUGGAGACAGGGAGAAGGGAGCCAGAUGCCUCUGAGGGGCUGCCACACAAGUUGUUAAUGGCUGUGGGAUGGAAGGGGAAGAUUGCUGGCUUCUCAGGAGUGCUUUUUUGGGCGAGUGCAAUGAUUCUUCUUCAGGGAACAAGAAACACAAUGAAGAAACAAAGGUCCAAGUUGCUCCCCAGAGACGAGCUAAGGAAAACGGCCCACAUCCUCCUCAGCAGUCAUGUUUCUGAGACGUUCUGUCGCCCCUCCCCUCUUUUUUUUGUUUUGUUUUUGUUUUUGUUUUCAACCUACCUGCAAUAAACUAAUCCACGAUGGCUUAAUGUCAUUACACUUCUCAUUUCUGAUGGUGAUCCAGCUUAAAGGGGAGCAGGCACUGGGACCCUCUCCUGUUCCAAUCCGUGUGAGGGAUGAGGAGAAGAAAGGAUUAAGGAACUGUCUUUCCUCUUUCCACCAUUUUCUUUCCAGCCAUUCUCCAUCUUGUCAUGUCUUGGCAGCCGCGCCAGCCGGUGACAUUUUCUUUCUCUGCAGUGUGAAGGGACGUGGGCCACCGCACCGCUGGGUACCACGUGCGGCAGAUGCAGCCGAAACUGCAAGAGAGUACCCUUCAGCCCCCAGCUCAUCCCGGAAUUUCAUUGAGAAAAAUCCUCACCGCCUCCCAGCCAGACUUUAAUUUCUCCUUCAUCUUGGCACUGGGUGCACAGGAAGCAGCCCAGUUGGAGCUUCCAGGAGGGCACAGGCACUUUUUAAACAGCUAUCCUGAGCCCUUACCACUCUGGGAGAGCACGCCUCUCCCGGCUCAAGUUUCACUGGUCUAGCUGACCCACACUUCACCCGGCUCUCUCGAGGCCCCUAGAAGUCUUAAGCUCCACUAGGCGGCUUCCUGAGUGUCCAUGUGGGCGCCUGAGGGCAAACACCUAGGUAUCUGCAGAACAGCUGAAUGCAUCUUAGGAAGCUGAUGAAUUAUUCAGUAGGCCAAACAGACCGGUCACAAGGGAGCCUUGCUGGGAGGCAAGUAAGUGGGACCUUAAUAGUGGGACCUUAAUUUGAGAGAUGUUUAAUAGGCUGCGACAUAAAAAAAAAAAAAAAAACCCUCAUGUCUUGGUGAACAGCAGUUUGGGGCAAAGCAAGAGCAGAAAAUCCACUGUGUUUUGUAGCGAAGUGGCUGAUGCCAUGACCGGCUUCUCUUUGCCUCCACCGACUCUGCCUAACACCCUUGCAAGCUGAGUUGACUUGGAACGCAGCAACAAUAAAUGGCUUUUGUUAAGGAUUGGUCCUGAGAUAGAAUGUAAUAGCCACCCUUUGGACAGCUGUUACUGAGCAGUCACAAUAAUGUCACAGUGCAGUAAAUCUCUUCCACGGGACACUGUCCUGGCCAGUUUUAUUGAUGGCUUUACGCUGAUGGGUUCAGAUGAGAAAGCAGCCACAGCUCUUGUUAGACAUGUUGGAAAACCAUUUGUCUGCCCGAGACUGGGAAAUGAAUUCCACAAAAAUUGGGAGCCUUCCACCAGACUGCAAUUUCUGUCUGUGGUCUGAAACGUGCUGAGAUACUCCUUCGAAGGUAAAGGAAAAAUGGUUGCGUGGGACAAAGAAAGACGCAGCACGGGCCUUUUGAUUUCAGAGGCAUUAAGGGCCUCUAAAUUUGAAUGUGCCAUGCCAUCAAAAUGAGACAAAAACAUAUGAGAUUUUUAGUAAAUCCAGAGUAAAAGCUGGCUUUGCAGCAGGUCCAGGCUGUCUUUCGAUCUGGAACACAGCUCAGUCAGGAAAUUACUACUACACAGCAUGAAGACCCAAGUUUGGAUCCCUAGUCCUUAGGCAAAAGACAGGUCUUGUGGCUGUACAUCUACAAUCCUAGAGGUGAAAAGGUAAAGGCUAGAAGAUGCUUGGGGCUAGCUGGCAAGCCAGUGCAGCCAAUCAGAGAGCUCCAGGCUAAGUGAGAGACAUGAUCACACACACACACACACACACACACACACACACACACACACACACACACAGAUACGUGAGGAUGUGUGAGAUAAGAGAUGCCUCAGUGGUUAAGACUACUGACUGCUCUUGCAGGAGCCCCAGUUUCAUUUCCAUCACUCAGUGACUAACAACUGCCUCUAACGCCAGUUCCGGCAGGUCUGAUGCCCUCUUCUGGUCUCUGGAGGCACUGCAUGCAUAUGAUGUGCAGACCUGACUAACGUGUAGGCAAAAUACCUAUACACAUAAAAAAAAAAUCAUUCUAAAAGAAUAAUAAGGCGGAGAAGUAAUUGAGGAAUGACACCUGGUGGUAACCUCUGGCUUCCACACACAUGUGUACAUACAUAUGUACAUGUAAACACACACACAUACACAGCAAUACUGAGUAAUAUCUGGAGCUCCUUAAUAGGCAAUCUUCUCUAAGGAGAAUGUUAUGAACAAUACUGAAAAAAAAAUCAAUCACAUUUUCUUCCUUCUUUUUCUUUUGUAUACUAUUCUUCAGAUUGUAUUGAUUUUCAUUAGCUAUGGAUCAUAUAUUUUAUUAUUUAAUCCAAGAGGCUGGAGAGAACCGGAAUGAAGAAAACCUUCUAUGUGUUCAUCAGUCUGCUGUCUAGACUCAACUUCCAGGCAAGCGAGCAGCGAACACAUGGUUCCUGCCCACAAACAACAAUCCCAUUUCACUUUCUUGCUCUUUAAUUCCUUAAAAAACAUAGGACUUGGAGCUGGAUGUCAUGGCGCACACCUUUAAUUCUAAUACUUGGGAGGCUGGGGAGGAUGGAAAUUUGUGAGUUCUAGUUCAGCCUGGUCUACAGGGCAAGUUCCAGGACAGUCAGAGAUACAUGGAGACCCCCUCUCAGUACAACAACCCAACAACAACAACAAGCCAACAACAACCACCACCACACAACAACAACACAACAGUAGCAACAUAACAACAACUCAACAACAAGCUAACAACAAGUCAACAACCACCACCACCACCACCAACAAGCCAACAAUAAGCCAACAGCAGCAACAACAACAAUCCAACAAUAACAACCACGCAACAGCAAAAUCACAAAUUUGGACAUAGGUACCUAGAGUAAUUUUCUGUAUAUAAUGAGACUCUUGAGCAUGUUCAAUUUCCUGCUCAGUUUCCCUGGGUAGUUACUAUAGUGAUCUCUGAAGUUUUCAGUCUGUGAUAGUGCACAUGAGAGGUUUCCUUGCUCCCAAGAGAACAAUUCAAAACUCAUUUCUCUCUAGAAUACUCUUCCUGCCGCUUCCUUUGAUCUCUUAUUAGCAGCCCCUAAUACGUGUAAGCCCCUUUACAUGCUUAAUACUAACAAAAUUAUUAUAAUAGGUAAAUUAUUCCUUAGAGAAGAUGAGUUCCCUAUACAUUACAUAUGUGAGGGGGGAGAAGUUGAGUGGAUUAUGAGAUAAUCUAAGACUCAAACAAUGGUAUUCAAAUUUUUCUGUCUCAUAGAAAUCAAUUUAAACUCUUUUUUUUUUUUUUUUUUUUUUUUGGCUUCUAUCUGGUAUAUCUGCCUUGAGCCCUGGAUCUCCUAGGUUUUUGUGAGGACUCUGAUGUCUUAAUCUUUUGUUCCUAAACAUCCUAGGGAAAUUCUUUUCUAAUGAGAUAUAGGAGCAGUUACCAAUCCUGACCUAUUUGACAACCCUGGAUCUGUCAAUGCAGCUGAAAACAAUGACUGCUCAUUUAUUAAAAGUAAACUGUUUUUCUCGGUCCUGCCCGUCAACGGCACGGAGAAGGUAACAUGAGGGGACUUGGAUAUUUUCAGAGGCUGUGUGCUUCAGCCCUGUUUCCCCUGCUGCCUACAGAUACUUGCCCCUCUUCUGUCAUCUCCAGAGAUCUCUUCUUUGAAACUCCCACCAGUGGUUUCUCGAAAUGUUCCCAGGAUAAGCAACCUGAUCUUCACUGAGAGAACGUACAAGAAAUACAAAUUCGCUGGGUAUACUGAGUCCACACUCCUGAGUGAGGCCGACCUAGCUUUGUUUUGAGCACUGCAGACCUGGAAUCUUGUGGAGAAGACAUGGAAUCAACCUACAUCAUUGAUUACCGAGCUGUUUUUUGGCACCACGUGGUAUCUUCUGGUAUCACGAAAGCUAGUGGUCAGGAAAGCGUCUUUCAGCAGGUCAAGACCCAUGAUUCGAUUAUCUGGCAUUGAGUGAAUGUGUUCGAGGAAGACUUUAAAUAGAAACUCAGCCCGGUGCUCAAGCUUGGUUCGUUCAGCCUCUUCCACCCCAACGUUCGGAGGGCCGCGCUUGCAAUCAUCUCUCAGGCUCUCAUUUACCCCGGGAUGGACCAGCUUUCGAGCCUGGCCUUGCAAAUCAAGUUUUGACAACAACCACCCAUCCUGCUGAAAAUCUGCUUUUCUGUUUUGAAUUAUAAUUCUCUUGAGCCUUUUGACUAUGACCAGAGAUACCAUGAAAUCAGAAUCGCCCACAUCACAGGUCGACCUCAGAUGACAUGAUUACAGAUCGUUGAAGAAAGGAACUGGGAUCUUCACAGGAAAAGCAAAAGGCUAAACAUAUAGCAUACUUUGCAGAACUUCACACUGUGCUUUCAACAGCAAUGGGAAAUGAACUGAAUGCGGCAUAGCUUGAGCAUUGGAGACCUCAAAGCCCACCCCAGCAAUGACACACUUCCUCUAACAAGGCCACACCUACUUCAAGAAGGCCACACCUCCUAAUAGUGCCACUCCCUGUGAGCAUAAGGGAGCCAAUUACAUUCCAACUGCUACAGUGGUUGUGAUUCAAAGCUACCAGACGGCACAUGAAGACAAUGAUAUUUACUCUUUGAAAUUACAAGAAACUUGCAACUUCCAUCCCGAAGCAUUUGAUGGAUCCUGGGGGAGAGGAGGAGAAGCUUCUUGCCGAUUACCCAGUAGGCUUGCAACACUCAUCUAUCAAGCUAAAUAUCGACAAGGUGCCAGAAUUGCAAUUGUGACCAGCAAAUCUUAAUCUAACGGGACAUAACAUUUUCUUCUUCUCUGCUUGUUUAACAUUUGUUUGCCCCGAACAUAGAAGAAGGGUUUCUAUGUUAAAAAGGGUUGAUGAUGCUCUCAUGAAUUCAAUGAAAUGAAGGAGGGAUGUCAGCAUCGCUACUGAGACAGUGAAGAUUCACCCACCAAACCAGGGAAUUCCUAGGGGAUCAGGUCACUUCCCAGUGUUCCUCAUGCAUGGAAGGCCAUUUUCCUACUAGAGUACCAAAGAACUGGUCUUUGCCAUGCUUAAACUCAAAGUUUGAUUUAGCCUGAUAUUAGCAUGGCUCUUCCAGGUCCCUUUAACAGUAUGUUGGCAAAGAAGUGAAAAAAAAAUCAUUCAAAUUGAAACAUUUUAGCAACUGGUAGAAUUUGGAUAGAGCAGUGUUGUUAAAAUGCCAUCCUUUGGCAGUUUUGUUGAAUGGCUUCAUUUGUCUAGAAGGAGCUGUGACCUCUGGCCCCCGGGGUAAGUGGCACAACAGAGUUCUUACCCAGUAAGAGUUGCAUGCUUGAUUCUGUGGACAACUGACGGCCAUACCCUCUGCUGAACUUGGGACUAUGGGAAGCAAUGCUUGGUCAGACUGGAGCCUGGACCAUACACUCAUUUCACAUGGCUCAUUGAACAGUUGGUUACACGAUGCUUCUCUGACUCCUUCUGUUGACCUUGCUCUGACCAGCCAAGUGUCGGAUUACUAAUUAUCCCUAAAACACUGCUAUGUAAAUGUCAUUUGAUUUUUCACCUCUGCUUUUGGAUGCCACUCUGUUCAGAAGGAGUCGUUUGUAAUAGUCGCAGGAGCUGACUGAUGGGAUGAUACUCUGUCGCUGCCAUGAGCACGACCACCAAACAAGUGUUUAUUUAAUCAAGCAGUAACAGCCAGAGCAAUGAAGAAGAAGGAAACGAAAAUCUACGCUGCAUUUCUUGUGGAAGUUUCACUGUGUUCUAGGCUUCCAUUUCUUACUGAUUGACACUGUGCGCGUUUCUGUGCCAUAUGGAAAUAACAAACCGCCAUCUGGGGGUUUCAUCUUUUUCCUUUGAAGCCAGGGUGUCUCUGAAGAUUAUGCUUUGCCUACUUGGCAAGGAAAUCAUGCUUUAGCUUCAAAUGAUUAGAAAAUACAGAUAGUGAUUCCUCUCUGACUAGACCCCGAAGACUAGCUCAUGUAGAUAUCAGAAUUCCUAAUGAAAACCCUCCCCAUUGCAGCCCCAAAUUUGCCUUCUGUUGUUAUACUGUACUUGCUAAGAUAUAGGAAGAAAAGGGUUUUGGACCUUUACAUUUUUUUACGAUCCAUUGGUUUCAGCUUAUGAAAUGCUGUACAAGGCAGCUUGAGCAAGGUACUUCAGACACGGGUAGGCAUUGUUGGUGGGGUAGAAGAAAUACUAAGACACAGUUAACACUUACUUGGAUCCAAGCACUUGAUUUGCUUUCUCUUUAGUAGGUUAUUUAGAGCCACUAAAAUUAGGGAACUCUAUGAACUUCUUAAAUAUUACUAAAUUCUAAGGGUUCUGAUUUAAAACAAGAACCUAAGCUUAUUUGAUUCAUCUACAAAUCAACUCCAAAGCCAGAGCAAGGGUCUAAACCUCAGUAAUGUUGAUUGUUUUAUUGCAUUUUAAAAUAAAAUAUUUCCUUGUCUUUGUCUUAGUUGCCUUUCAAACAGCUAACCCAUAUUUACUUAAACCAGAGGACAAGCAAAAAACAUACUCAUUUUUGAAUAUGAACGACAAGGUUACUUUAGUUCUUUCUUUAAAUGUUUAUUGUAUAUCUUCCAUAUACCCACUCCAAAGUCAGUAUUCAGAAAUCAAAAGGCUCAGUUCCACCCUCAUGAAGGUAUAACCCCUUCCAAGAAAUGAUAUGUUAUGUUAAAUUACAACAGAUAUAAAUCCACACGCAAAAUAACAAAUAUAAUAACUCGGAAGAUAAUUGUGUGAUCAUAUACUCUGUUCUAUCAUGUGAGUAAAUUUUCUAUUAUAUUAAAGACUAACAUACU